AUUGAACGCUGGCGGCAGGCUUAACACAUGCAAGUCGAGCGAGCGGCGGACGGGUGAGUCAUGUCUGGGAAACUGCCUGAUGGAGGGGGAUAACUACUGGAAACGGUAGCUAAUACCGCAUACCAUCAGAUGUGCCCAGAAGGGAUUAGCUAGUAGGUGGGGUAAUGGCGCACCUAGGCGACGAUCCCUAGCUGGUCUGAGAGGAUGACCAGCCACAAUGGAACGUGGACACUGUCCAGACUCCUACGAGAGGCAGCAGCUGGGAAUAUUGCACAAUUGGCGCAAGCCUGAUGCAGCCAGGCCGCGUGUGUUAAGAAGGCCUUCGGGUUGUAAAACACUUUCAGCGAGGAGGCGUUACUCGCAGAAGAAGCACCGGCUAACUCCGUGCCAGCAGCCGCGGUAAUAC
rnacentral:rRNA from 1 species